ACCAUUCAGACACCUCUCAACUCCCUCAGCACCACAGAGAAGGUCACUGUCCCCACCAGCCAGACAGGUCCCUCCUCUCCUUGGACUACUCAUAGGGUCCCCACCACUCAGACACCUCUCGCCUCCCACAGCACCACGGAGAAGGUCACUGUCCCCACCCCUGUGACAGGUCCCUCCUCUCCCGGGACUACUCAGAGAGUCCCCACCACUCAGACACCUCUCACCUCCCACAGCAC